UACGUAGGCAGCGAGCGUUGUUCGGAAUUACUGGGCGUAAAGAGUGUGUAGGCGGUGCUCCCAGUCUGUUGUGAAAUCUCCCGGCUUAACUGGGAGGGUGCAGCGGAAACUAGAGUGCUAGAGGGUGGGAGAGGUAAGCGGAAUUCCUGGUGUAGCGGUGAAAUGCGCAGAUAUCGGGAAGAACACCGGUGGCGAAGGCGGCCCACUGGCCCGAAACUGACGCUCAUGCACGACAGCGUGGGGAUCAAACAGG
rnacentral:rRNA from 1 species